rnacentral:rRNA from 1 species
UACAGAGGUCUCAAGCGUUGUUCGGAUUCAUUGGGCGUAAAGGGCGCGUAGGCUGCGGGGCAAGUCGGGUGUGAAAUCUCAGAGCUCAACUCUGAAACUGCACUCGAUACUGCUUUGCUCGAGGACUGGAGAGGAGAUUGGAAUUCACGGUGUAGCAGUGAAAUGCGUAGAUAUCGUGAGGAAGACCAGUGGCGAAGGCGAAUCUCUGGACAGUUACUGACACUGAGGCACGAAGGCCAGGGGAGCAAACGGG